UAGGGAGUCUUCCACAAUGGACGAAAGUCUGAUGGAGCAACGCCGCGUGAGUGAAGAAGGUUUUCGGAUCGUAAAGCUCUGUUGUUGGUGAAGAAGGAUAGAGGCAGUAACUGGUCUUUAUUUGACGGUAAUCAACCAGAAAGUCACGGCUAACUACGUGCCAG
rnacentral:rRNA from 1 species